rnacentral:rRNA from 1 species
CUACGGGAGGCUCCAGUGGGGAAUAUUGCACAACGGGGGAAACCCUGAUGCAGCGACGCCGCGUGAAGGAUGAAGGAUUUCGGUUCGUAAACUUCUAUCAGCAGGGAAGAUAGUGACUGUACCUGACUAAGAAGCCCCGGCUAACUACGUGCCAGCAGCCGCGGUAAUACGUAGGGGGCAAGCGUUAUCCGGAAUUACUGGGUGUAAAGGGUGCGUAGGCGGUCUGUUAAGCCAGAUGUGAAAGCCCGGGGCUCAACCUCGGGACUGCAUUUGGAACUGGCAGACUAGAAUACAGGAGAGGUAAGUGGAAUUCCUAGUGUAGCGGUGAAAUGCGUAGAUAUUAGGAGGAACACCAGUGGCGAAGGCGACUUACUGGACUGUUAUUGACGCUGAGGCACGAAAGCGUGGGGAGCGAACAGGAUUAGAUACCCCCGUAGUC